rnacentral:rRNA from 1 species
GACGAGGGAUCCUAGCGUUGUUCGGAAUCAUUGGGCGUAAAGCGGGUGUAGGUGGUCUGAUAAGUCAGAGGUGAAAGCCCAGGGCUUAACCCUGGAAGUGCAUAUGAUACUGUCAGGCUUGAGUGUGGGAGAGGAUAGCAGAAUUCCUGGUGUAGUGGUGAAAUACGUAGAUAUCAGGAGGAAUACCGGAGGCGAAGGCGGCUAUCUGGCCCAACACUGACACUGAGACCCGAAAGCGUGGGGAUCAAACAGG